UAAGAAAGAAGGCAGGUGCUGGUGAGAAGCACGCGCAAGGCAUCCAUUUCAGGCCCCCAGAGCAGUCUGGCUUGGGGUUCAAUGUCACGGGGGAAAUUUCUUUGAGCCUUUAGUAUAGGAGGGAGGCGCCGAAACAAAAGAAAGAUGAGAAAGCAAUGAGGGGAGCUUUUACUUGGGACCUAAUUCUGACUCACAAGGCAGAACUUGUCGGGGAAAGACUGGGAGGCCAAACUCCCAAUUUGAGACUCCAGGAAUGAAUCCCAGGCUUCUCAUUCACUGACCUCCCAGAGAACUUGCCACCUCUACAGAAGUCAAGAACAUGAGGAGUCUGGAAGCCACUGCUACAAUGUUGAAUCAAGGAGCACGCUCUUCAGCUGUGAUAAAGGAAUCAGCAAGUCGAGACUGAAACUUUGGAUACAGGGCCAAGGUUACAAACUCCAGAUUCACUGAGUGUUUCUUGUUGGCAGAACCUAUGUCACAAUCUAAACUAGU